UCUCCGUUCUCCAGCUCCAGCUUUCGGAUUCCAGGAAGCAGCUGCUCAGCUGGCAGACUCUGAUAUGGUUAUUCUUUGCUUUCAGUCCACUGAAUCAAGCCCCCUGUGCCUGUCUAAGAGUAGGGGCCUUGUUACACUGUACACUGCGAGCUGCACUAACUUUGAUGGGUGUUAGCACUAGUUCGAGUUUGGAGCAGUCACACUCCAGGCCAGCGUGUGCCUGGCACACUGAAAGUUGUCUGUUCCAGCCUGGUGGUUGUUCUGAACCUACCAGCAUGUUUUGCUGUGGAUGAAGGAGAAGCUCCUGCUCUUGUUCUUCCCUGUCACUGUGGGCUGUUUUCAGGCUCUUGUCGCCAGC